AUCCCAUGAGGCCAUGCAGCUUGAUCCACACAGACGCCCGCGGUCGUUCAGCGAGUCUCUCCACAUCAACGUGUUUCCCUAGCCCACCAUGCUCGUAGGGACCCCUUCUCCUACCAUGGUCUGAAACCGAAAACAAUGUUUCUUGGCGCCGUCUAUGCAGAUGCCAGUCAAAAGUAACUCCUUCACUCCCAUUCCUAGCCUAAGUCCUACCAGAAAGUCAUUUAUGAGAAGUUUGAGUCCCUUAGCUGUCAGACCUAGUCCAGUGGGGAAAAGAAAACUUGA